ensembl:lncRNA
CAGUUAUUAACGGACGGCUGUGUAGAGCAAUGGGAGAUGUGUAGUAUCUCUUUCGUCCUUUCCUUCUUUGUUUCUUUAAUUUUACUAGUCUUUCCAUCCCUGAAGGUCAGGUUUCGGAGGUGAACUGACCCACAAAGUUUGAGUGCUUUCCGUAACAGGUGGCUGAUGUAGCAAGUGGUGCCACUGCCCUCUGACUGGAUCAAUGUCUAACAGUUUAUCCCGGGCAAACCAAUGGAGAUGAAUGUCCCUGGCCAAAUGCAGGGAAUCGUUUUUAGUCCCUGUCCAUAAUCCCUUCAGCUGCUUGAGGUAGAAGAUUGUGCCUUCUGCUCUGUGUUGUUGGAUCAUUUCAUGUCCUUGGUAAUGUAAACACUGAGGGACAGGAGGACAGGUAGGGGCAGAGCAUUUAUCCCUGGGGGGGCCCAUGUGGUGGAGGUCAUAUUGUCUGUCCUGACCACCUGGGGUUGGUCCUUUAGGAGGUCGAUGAUCCACUUUUCGCAGACGUCUCAGCGUCCUGACACGCUAGGAGAAUGCUGGUGUUAAAAUCUGAGCCGUAGUCAAUAAACCUGCAGGUGUUUGUCGUGUCCAGUUGAGUUGUAAUGUGCAGUUCAGUGGCUGUUUGGGUAAUCUACGGCUCUGUUUAGGUAAUCUAUGGCUCUGUUUGGGUCAUCUAUGGCUCUGUUUGGGUCAUCUAUGGCUCUGUUUGGGUAAUCUAUGGCUCUGUUUAGGUAAUCUACGGCUCUGUUUAGGUAAUCUACGGCUCAGUUUGGGUAAUCCAUGGCUCUGUUUGGGUCAUCCAUGUCUCUGUUUGGGCCAUCCAUGUCUCUGUUUGGGUCCUCUAUAUUUGGGCACUAGGCAAACUGCAAUGGGUCCAGAGUGAUGGUCUGAUGGAGGUUUGUGCUUCUUAGCAAGCCUCUCAAAGCAUUUCUCAUUCUGUGUGCGUGCAUGUUUUUGGUUGUGUGUGUGACAUUCCUACUCUGUGUGUGUGUGUGUCAGAGAUUUCUGGGUGAGCUUUUCUCUAAAGAUAGACAUUGGAACAUCUGUCAGACUAUGGCAGUAGUGAGGUGGUAUGUAACAGUAUGAAUAUUUCCACUGUGGUGGCCCCAUCCUUUUUCACCCCAGUUUCCUCUUGACAGAGGCUGAGAGCCACCGCCUCACCACCCACUGGGCUUCUGGUGAACGUCUAGAAACUUCCGGCCUUGCAUAGAGAACUAGGAGGCAACAGUAGUCUGUUGUAAAAGUCUCAUUGGAAAGCCAGAGAGUAAUCUUUACAGAUUAGAUAGAGCUGGGAGAGGAGAGUUUGGCUGUGUUUAACCCAUAUUACACUCUGCUGCUGCCGCAGUGCUUAAUUAAAACUACCCACAAUUCCCUGUGUGCUGGGUGGAGAGUUGACACCAAGGUAAGGUCCUGGCUCCAGUGAGAACGCACACACACAAAAACACAUAGGAACAUCUAAACACAUUAAUGCAUCUAAAAAUACAAAGACAUGUAAACACAUUAAAACAUAUUUGCAUACACAUAGGUUUAAUUUCCUUCCACUCAUAUACAAUACAUAAAGGAUGAAAUGCAACAGCUUUAAAUGUGAAAUGUUGCAACAUAGCAAGAACAAUCUGUCAUCUCCUGCUGUUCAUCACUGCAGCAAACAAACCAUGAAACCUAGACUGUAAGGAACCAGUCACCUUUUCCUGUUGCUUUCCUUCUGCUAACUGUGACUCUCCAUCUCUAACAAUACUCAGUAUACACUCUCCUCAUCCUCAUCACCAGUUUUAAAUUUAUUUGACUCUCAUUUCCAGAUUUUUGCUCUUUCAUUAGACUGAAUGUACUGUAGUAAUCUCAAUAUUGACAAUUCAUUUAAAAACUGAACUGAACGUUGUUUACUGCACCUGGCAUCAUUGGAAGUUCUUAUUAAAACGUCCUUAAUGUUCUUUGCAAAAAAAACUACAUCUUGAAGUGAUGAUUGUGUGAUUUCCUGUCUCGUUAAAAAUAAUGAUGUUAUGUAA